CUGCUUAAAUGUUUAUGAUAGUUGAGCGUAUGUUAUGAAACCUGAGUCCAUGCAGUUGACAACACAGAUCUACGUAAACAUAAUUUUCCACCUCCCAACAUUUUGAAAGUUUUUGAUUUAAAAAAGUAAGCUUUUUAAUUUCUCAGACGUAUAUGGGUGUGUACGUCCGUUUCUACAGAUAAACAACUUAAUUCCACAACAGGCACUACAAUUAUAUUGGGAUAAUGAGACAUAUGAGAAGAAAAGAAUUGUCACGGUGGCGACGACGUACAUGUGGCUCAAUAGAGUAAGUCGACCGAGAUUACCAGAAGGACGGUUUUUUUUCCUCAACAAUAAUAAAAUUGCUGAUUCUUAACGCACGCACCGGUGUGGACCCCGGGGAGGGAUUACAGAUAAUCACUGCGAACGCGGAUGACACGCCGCAAUACCUCUGUCAAAACGUCAAAAACCUUCACGGAUCUUCUCGUCACGGGUCAUCUACAUCAUCGGGUAGUUAUAAAUAUUAGGAGGCAGAGGCGUAGUCGUCGUUGCAACAACACAACGGCAGAGCAUUUGUCAUAUAUGGCAAAUGGCCGUGUCCCCCGCGAAUACCGUCUAUAUAACUUAUAUUAUUAUUAUAAUAUUAUCGUCAGACACCACGCUGGGAGGUCUUCUCCAAUGUCCUCGAAAACACACACACACACACACACACGUGUCGAGUAUCCGACAUACGCACAUAAUAUACAGGAGGAUUCACCAAGCAUGCCUUCAGUGGUCACCCCAUGGUGGAGAUUCGAUCCCCGAUUCUAUGUUUUGUACAAAAAUUAGAUGCUAAUGACUGUACUAACCAUUCCGGUCUUCGGAUAAAACUUCUGAAAACAUAAAUAAAUUUGUCAUAAAGUUUACUUGCGAAAUCAAAUUGCCACUUUUUUGAAUUUGAAUUUCUAAGAAUAUUAAUAAUAUUUGAGUGAAAAAUUAAUUUAAGAACAUAAACAUGAGGAAAUCUUUUUCAAGUAACUAUACUUCAUGGCAAAUUCAAAUACGUUCAGAAAUGUUAUCGGCUAAAAAGAAAAGUUAAUACGAUUUGUCAAAGAUUGAUGAUUUUUACCAAAAACAAAAAAAAAUUAAUAUUCGUGGAAUGCGCGUUAUUGACAUGUACCUACAUGAGGUAUUGCUUCACUAUUUCUAGUACACACAGUCAUACAUACUAUGCAUACUAAUGAUAGUUUACUACUCAUACAUUUACAAGAGCAACACACAAACCCAUAGACAAUUUCCUAAUGCUUAUAGGAUUCCUUAGGAGACAAUUCCUUAUGCUUUUAUUAAACCCAUUAAAAACGGCCAGUAUAGCGUUUAAUCCCAUUUACCCUUAAUAUACAAUUCUGAUUUUUGAAACUUUUUAAUAUACUUUAUUUACUUGCAUUUCCAUCACAACAAAAUAGGGGCAAGCGGACUUGCUGAAUCACUCUGUAUAUUAUUCGUACAGCCCUCGGCAACGUGUGUGUAUCAAUCCGGAAACUGUCCUGGUCAUGGUCAACCUUAUUUUGGUACAGUCACACUGGCAUUGCCGGGUUAAAAAGGCUGAAACUAGUAUAAUGUUCGAUUAUCGCACUUGUCAGACCAGACCGACAUGAUGGGUCGGUCGAGAAAUGUUUAAUUUUCGACAGUCGACCUGUCAGUUGGAUAAAUAUAUCAGACCUACACUAAUACAAAUUAUUAAUAUGAUUUUUCAUAUUUUAAUAGUGCAGUUCUGACAUUUACUGUUAAUUAUAAAAGUCUAAGACUUCCUUACAGUUAUAUUCCACCACGCCAAAUUCAUACCUUCGGUACCCAAUUAUAUAUACCAUGAAUAAUAACAAUUCAAUGAAAAACAAUAUUUUUAAAAAAAAACUGUUUACUUUAAUAAAACGUAAAUAAGUGCCUACCGUACCUAUAAAAUCAGGUAGAUAUAAGUACUUUGUUAUAAACUAUAAAUGAUAAUACACAUGGUAAUGUGUAACAAAUAAAACUUUUUCUGUGCAUACUGAUGCUUAAAAUUGUUGAUGCUAUCAACAAAUUUAGGUUUUUUAUUUCAUAUAACAAACAUAUAUAUAAAUAAAAUAUAAAUAUAUGUGUAUGUAUGUAUAUGACUCGUAUUCAUCCUUCCCAUUACAAGCACUUGAUUUCAAAUCCGGUUACCCACGAAAACGGAUUCUAAAUGAUAUUUACGAGUCCGAAUCGUAAUAAUUACAACGACUGCAACGCGUUUAUUAUCGCGCGCUGGUCGAGACGGACCACCUUGAGCGCCGCCGCAUAUUAUAAAUCCAAUUUAUUCCGAAGAGCUCGCGCGUA